AACGAACGCUGGCGGCGUGGAUAAGACAUGCAAGUCGGACGGGACUAUUUCUAGUAGCAAUACCGGGGAUAGUUCAGUGGCGAACGGGUGCGUAACACGUGGGCAAUCUGCCGAGAAGUGGGGGAUAGCUCGCCGAAAGGCGAAUUAAUACCGCAUGUGGUGAGGGAAGACAUCUUUCUGAAUCCAAAGGUGGCGCAAGCUACCGCUUUUUGAGGAGCCCGCGGCCUAUCAGCUAGUUGGUGGGGUAGCGGCCUACCAAGGCGGUGACGGGUAGCUGGUCUGAGAGGACGACCAGCCACACUGGAACUGAGACACGGUCCAGACACCUACGGGUGGCAGCAGUCGAGAAUUUUUCUCAAUGGGGGAAACCCUGAAGGAGCGACGCCGCGUGGAGGAUGAAGGCUUUCGGGUUGUAAACUCCUGUCAUUUGGGAACAAUGCGUCAGAAUUAACUGUUUUGACGUUGGUAGUACCAGAAGAGGAAGAGACGGCUAACUCUGUGCCAGCCGCCGCAGUAAAAC
rnacentral:rRNA from 1 species